GAUGAACGCUGGCGGCGUGCCUAAUACAUGCAAGUCGAGCGAACAGACGAGGAGCUUGCUCCUCUGACGUUAGCGGCGGACGGGUGAGUAACACGUGGAUAACCUACCUAUAAGACUGGGAUAACUUCGGGAAACCGGAGCUAAUACCGGAUAAUAUAUUGAACCGCAUGGUUCAAUAGUGAAAGACGGUUUUGCUGUCACUUAUAGAGGGAUCCGCGCCGCAUUAGCUAGUUGGUAAGGUAACGGCUUACCAAGGCAACGAUGCGUAGCCGACCUGAGAGGCUGAUCGGCCACACUGGAACUGAGACACGGUCCAGACUCCUACGGGAGGCAGCAGUAGGGAAUCUUACGCAAUGGGCGAAAGCCUGACGGAGCAACGCCGCGUGAGUGAUGAAGGUCUUCGGAUCGUAAAACUCUGUUAUUAGGGAAGAACAAAUGUGUAAGUAAAUAUGCACGUCUUGACGGUACCUAAUCAGAAAGCCACGGCUAACUACGUG
rnacentral:rRNA from 1 species